ACCAAUUAUUGUAGGUUCAAAUCCUACUUUUUCUG
rnacentral:tRNA from 1 species